rnacentral:rRNA from 1 species
GACGAACGCUGGCGGCGUGCCUAAUACAUGCAAGUCGAGCGAGCGGAACUAACAGAUUUACUUCGGUAAUGACGUUGGGAAAGCGAGCGGCGGAUGGGUGAGUAACACGUGGGGAACCUGCCCCAUAGUCUGGGAUACCACUUGGAAACAGGUGCUAAUACCGGAUAAGAAAGCAGAUCGCAUGAUCAGCUUUUAAAAGGCGGCGUAAGCUGUCGCUAUGGGAUGGCCCCGCGGUGCAUUAGCUAGUUGGUAAGGUAAAGGCUUACCAAGGCGAUGAUGCAUAGCCGAGUUGAGAGACUGAUCGGCCACAUUGGGACUGAGACACGGCCCAAACUCCUACGGGAGGCAGCAGUAGGGAAUCUUCCACAAUGGACGCAAGUCUGAUGGAGCAACGCCGCGUGAGUGAAGAAGGUUUUCGGAUCGUAAAGCUCUGUUGUUGGUGAAGAAGGAUAGAGGUAGUAACUGGCCUUUAUUUGACGGUAAUCAACCAGAAAGUCACGGCUAACUACGUGCCAGCAGCCGCGGUAAUACGUAGGUGGCAAGCGUUGUCCGGAUUUAUUGGGCGUAAAGCGAGCGCAGGCGGAAGAAUAAGUCUGAUGUGAAAGCCCUCGGCUUAACCGAGGAACUGCAUCGGAAACUGUUUUUCUUGAGUGCAGAAGAGGAGAGUGGAACUCCAUGUGUAGCGGUGGAAUGCGUAGAUAUAUGGAAGAACACCAGUGGCGAAGGCGGCUCUCUGGUCUGCAACUGACGCUGAGGCUCGAAAGCAUGGGUAGCGAACAGG